rnacentral:rRNA from 1 species
GUCUAUGGCCAUACCACCCUGAAUGUGCCCCAUCUCAUCUGAUCUUGGAAGCUAAGUAGGGUUGGGCUUGGUUAGUACUUGGAUGGGAGAAUAGUCUCACUCAAACACGCUGAUGGCAUUGGCU